AGGACGAACGCUGGCGGCGUGCUUAACACAUGCAAGUCGAGCGGAAAGGCCCUUCGGGGUACUCGAGCGGCGAACGGGUGAGUAACACGUGAGUAAUCUGCCCCUAGCUCUGGGAUAGCUCCGGGAAACCGGGAUUAAUACCGGAUACGACCACCUUAGACAUCUUUUGUGGUGGAAAGAAUUUCGGCUAGGGAUGAGCUCGCGGCCUAUCAGCUUGUUGGUGGGGUAACGGCCUACCAAGGCGACGACGGGUAGCCGGCCUGAGAGGGCGACCGGCCACGACUGGGACUGAGACACGGCCCAGACUCCUACGGGAGGCAGCAGUGGGGAAUAUUGCGCAAUGGGCGAAAGCCUGACGCAGCGACGCCGCGUGGGGGAUGAAGGCCUUCGGGUUGUAAACCCCUUUCAGCAGGGACGAAGCGAAAGUGACGGUACCUGCAGAAGAAGCGCCGGCUAACUACGUGCCAGCAGCCGC
rnacentral:rRNA from 1 species